CAAAAUCAGUCGAAGCCAUUCUCUCUCUUUCAACACUCCUCUCUCUCUCUCUCGAAUACUGCAUUGUUCUUAUCCUGAGAUUUCUAUUUCCUUGCGAUUGAAUUAUGGUUGGUUGAUUUCUUUAUUUGAGACGAUUGCUUAAUCUGGACCUGGUACUGCUUAUCGAAAUUAUGAAGAGAGAAAUUAAAGAACUCAGGCGCCAGAGAGAUUUUGCACAAUCUCAAGUGGAUGAGUUGCAGAAAAAACUUCAAGAGGACCAACGGCUUCAAGCACAUUGGAAUCAACACCACGUCCAUCGGUAAAGAACUGUCUCUCUCUCCUACGCUGAUGCAUUAUUAUGAAAACUUGAGAACAAGGAGAUAAACCGCUGCGACAGAGCAAGGAAAACUAUGUUAAGGCUAUUAUCAUCAACUGCACCUUUUACUCUGAUGCAUGAAAUCCGUAAACUCGAACAUCUCAGGAGCAACUUGGAGCUCUAGAAGUAUUGCAAAAGGAAAGUCAUAGUCUAGGUGAUCGAGAUGCAGCGGAGUCCAUUGCCAAGCUGCAAGGGAAAUGCAACCUAUUCAAAAAAGAUUGUUGAUGUUGUUGAGAAGGAAGAAGGGGAGUUAGAGGAGGUGAGAUUGAUUUGGAUAUGGAACCAGAUCAUUUGAUGCAGUUUGUAAAUUGGAGGGCUUGCAGGAUGUUGUUCUGGGAAAUAGCAUUUCCAAUAAAGAUGAUCUUAUUCAAUUGUCAUUCACUGCAGUUCGAGUGAUUAAUUCUUACGAGAACAUAACAGGGACAGCUUUUCAAGGUUUCACUCGUCAUCCCUUCUGUUACAUAUUGUAGACUUCUUUCUCUGGUAAAUAGGUUCCUUCUCUUUUCACCCCUGAGCAUUCUGAAGAGGUAUGGCUAGUGUAAUUUCAAUCUUAGAUCUUGUUGUUUGCUUUGUUACUUGCUAUGGUAUUACUGUCACUUGGGUUGAUUUUCUGUCAUUAAGAAGUCUAGAAGUGGUAUAUGUUUCCACAGAUUGAGAUCGUGCUUGCCUCUAGAGAUUCUUCUGGUGUUUUUUUUGAGUUCUUAGAAGGAUAAUGAUGUGAUUGGUAAAAGUUCAGGUUACAGAACUGAAGGAGUUUCGGAUUUUAAGAAUAUGCUGAUCCAAUUUCAAAUUUUAAGAAUAGAUCGGCUUUGCUUCCUUUAUUGCAUCUAUACCUCUACCAAUUGUAGCAGCUAUCUAUUUCAUCUAGACCAUAUUUAGACAGCUUCUGCUGUCCUUGGUUUCUCUUUAUGUUCUGUAACCUCCUGAACAGUUUCAGGAUAAAGUUCAUACUUGGCUUCUCUUUCUUCAUGGGCAUUUCAGUACUCCAAUACUUCAGAUAGUACUAUAAUCAAAUAGGAUCAAAAUGCGGGUCAUGUUUACACUGGUUCCUUUGUUAGACCUCCACAAAUAUCAGUACCCCCAAUUAUUAGGCUGCCUGUCAUCCAUCACCUACACGGGAAUCAGCACUUCCUUUACAGUAUAAUAUUUGCGGUUCAUUUGGUUCUCUGUAAUAUUAGGAAAUUCCUUUUCAUUUUCUUCAGCUGGAUAUAAUCUUGAGGAUGAGGAGGGCAACAAGUUUCCUGGCAGAAAACUUUUAGAGAGCAAAGAUAGCAGAUUAAUGAACUAUGGGAUGUAUGCUUUGUAUCCGUCAUCAGUAGGACGCAGUUUUAUUUGUUAUUCACAUAAUAAGCUGAGCUUAGGCGCUUGAAUUGGUUACAGCAGCAUUUGGCAAUGCAUCUUGGAGAUGAGCCUGCAAUUUCUCUAUCCUGAAUGUUUUCUUCUCUCUUUUUAGCCUGCGAACUUACACGAACUGACACAUUGCUUGCAGUUGUUAAUAUCCAAUGAAUGCUUAAAUUAAAUAUACCCUAUCGGGACUCCAAGCUCACUCAUAUAUUGCAGCACUCUCUCGGCAGGAAUGCACGAACUGAGCAGAACCACAGCCUCCUGACCCUUCAAAGGAGAAAGACUUAAAAAGUUCAGCAGCUUUCUACGGCAGUGCAAGUACUAAAUUAACAAGUCGUGUUUCCUCCAAAGAUAAGUUUAUUUUCUGUUAUCUCAUAUUUCGUAGUUUUACUAUUGUUUUAUAUAUUUAAUAUUAUUCUUAAUUUGCUUUUAAUUUCUCUUUAUUCUAUUGUAUAUUUGUUUAUUUGUUUAUUUGAACUUUUAUUUGCUAAUUUUGUUUACUAAUCUAAUUCUUUUCAUAGUGACAGGUUCUAAUUACCCAGUUUUGAUAUCCUAAGCGGUCUUUUAUGGACUUUUAGGAUUAAUUUAGUUAAUUAAUUAGUUAAUUUCUUAUUUGACUUUUUGAGGCUUUUAAGCUAUGGUUGUAAUUAAUUCCCCCUUAAUUGCCCCGAUCUCCUUAAUCCCUUUCUGGAUUUCUCUUUUCUCCUCCCCCCUUUCUAUGUAUGUUUUAUUUUAUUGUUUUUAGAUUUUCACCACACAUGUUUAAGGGACUAAAAUCAAUUUAGGAUUUAUGAGCGAUCAUUUAGCAUGCCUAACAUAAAAUAAAUAAAACUUACCAAAGUAAGCUUCUGGCAUUUCAUAUCUACACUCACUUUAAAAUGCUAAUUUACCAAUUAAAUUUAUGUAAUAAAAUUGGAUUCAAAUUUGGCCACCUUGCAUGUGAAAGAUAAAAAAUCUGAGUUACUAAAGUACCUUCCGUCAGGACUAGUUUUGAGUGCUAAUAUACCUCCAUCUAUAGCACUCUUCUUUGGACUUUUAGGAUUAGUUUAGUUAAUUAAUUAGUUAAUUCUUUAUUCGAUUGUUUUGGUCGCAGUUGUAAUUAAUUUCUCUUGAUCGCUCCGGUCUCCUUAAUCCCUUUCUAGAAUUCUCUUUUCUGCUCCCCCUUUGUAUAAAUGUUUUAUUUUAUUGCUUUUAGAUUUACACUACACAUGUCUAAUAGAAUAAAAUCAACUUAGGAUUUUUCAAUCACCCCACAUGCCCAACAUAAAAUGAACAAAGCUUACCAAUGUAAGCUUCCCACGCCUUAUGUAUUCACUUUAAAAUGCUAAGAUUCUGAAUCCUACACCUAGAUAGUAUCUAAAGUACCAAAGUACCUCAUUCUAGGACUGGUUUCGGGUACCAAAUGUACCUUUUUCCAAGUUAGAAUCGUUUGUUGUCCUCACAUAUUAUAUAAGAUAAAAAGGUUCGUGCUUAAAUAAGUAGAAGUGACUAGAUUAAGGUAAUUUUGUUAGGCUAGCAAACAUUCAUUUACUCUAGCGGAUGCCUAGGCAUGUGCCUCAUGCAUUCCUUAUUCAUACCCUGAGCCCUCACAAUCUUUGAUAUUGGGGAGGGAGAAUUUUUAGGUUCUCUGCAAGGGGUAUAAAGCUGCCAUUCUUACUCUCCAAUUUGUCUCGAUGUUUAGGGUGUCGACUCCAAUUCACAUGAUCAUUGUGGUCCUUUAGGUCUCUUAAUCAUAUGACUUAUUUCAAAAUGGACUAGUACUAAGAACAAUUCCUCGACACAAUGAUGAGGUUGUAAAUCAACUAGGGCCGAGCCUAAAAACCUAUUGUGCUCACACAUUCUUAUAUAGUAAAAGAGAAGAAAUUUUUUUUAAAAGAACUAAAAUACCUUUAGUUAAUCUAAUUAUUUAAUUGAAUAUAAUUUUUAAUCUUAAUUCAAUUCUAAUUUUAUUAUAAUUUAAUAUGCAAUUCUAGUCCUAUAAAGAUUGAUGAGUAUCACUACAUUAAUUUAAUUAGUGAUUCAUCCAAUUGAUGAAAUUAAUAUUACAUAAUUUAAUUUCAUAUAUAUAAGAAAUUGAUGAAUUACUUUAUCAUACUAUGAUAUAGUUUAUGAGCAUUAGUAGGUUUUCAGGCCCAGCCCCAAGUGAUUGGCAUCCUCGUCAUAUUGUCAAAGAAUUUCUAGGCUCGUUUCGAAAUGAGUCAUUCAGUCGAAGAACCUAAAAAGACCACAAUAUUUAUUUGAUAAUCGAAAAAGUGGAAUCGCCACCCAAGAUGCCGGGUCAAGUAAUAGGUUUCGAAAAUUAGGUACGAAUAAGGAGGUUUAUGAAGUGCCCUGGCCUAGGCUGCCUAGCCUCCUUAGUGCAUCUAGUCCCUCUAUUGGUUUAGUGGUCAUCUUCGCCACUUUAUACGAAAUCUCAAAAUCAGAGAUGGUCUCACUGGAUAGUUUCCUUGUGGCUUCCCAGUACCAAGUACUCACUUCCAGUUCAGUGCUCUAUACUACAAAUCUCUCCGUCAUAUCUAUCUUGAUGUUCUGUUAGUAGAUCCCUAUAGAGCAUUAUCCUUAUUUCUCCUUCUUCAACUUCAGCUUUAGUGGAAGUUUCGCCAACAAACUUUAUUAUUAUUUUUGUCAUCUCCGACUGUGUAUACCCCUAAGUAAUAUUGAAAUAUUAGAUUCCUUAUGAUAAUUUUUGAAUGUCAUGAUUCAGUAAAUAUAUUCAUGUUAUGGUUGUCAUUAUUUUUUAGCAGUGAGUUUAGUAUCGUCUUUUAUAAUAUUAAAUUCACAGAGUUAGUCCUUUAGUACCUAUCUAUUCGUAUAGAGUUGGGUCUCACAGGUAAUCGGAAUAUGAAUAGGAAUGUCAUUGCUGAUUAUCAUAAAAUAGUUAGGGUUAAUUACUAAUACCUCUUUAGAUUUGGAUAAAUGUACAAAUCCAAUUUUAUUUUUUCAGAAAUGAACUAAUACG